CGUCAGAGGCCCCGUUCAGCCAACAGUCAGCGGAGUGGAGGUCGUCAGGCGGAGAAAAUUUUCAGGAAUGGAAAAACUUACCUUUAGGAAUAUAAAAGGUUUCCACAGAAUGCAGAGGAACUUAGAGUCAUCUUGAAAAGACAGAGUUCUUCAAGCUCCAAGUGUUGCAAAGUACCAUCUCAGUUUUCAUGGCUACUUUUAUGAUAUAUGGCACUCAUUAGCUCUGCAGCAGAGAGAUCUGUUGAAAUGUUUACUGUAGUACUCAGGAGAGACCAAGCUGUGGCUCCUGUUGACAGUCUUGGCAUUCUGUGCCCCCGGAAGCCUUGUUCCUUAGGGCUCAAGAAGAUCUGAUGAAUACCCCAUUAGACAAUCCUGACCCGGAAAUAUUUACAGAUGGCAGUUCUUUUGUUCGGGAUGGGAAGUGUAAAGCAGUUGUAAAGGUAAACCAUGGUGACGGCUGAACAGGUUUUAGAAACAAAAUCUCUCCCCCAGGGAACAAGUGUUCAGUUAGUGGAGCUUGUGGCUCUGACCUAGGCUCUAAAGUUAAGUAUAGCACAGGGAACUAUAUUCAAUAUUUUAUAAUCUAUAGUGGAAAAUAAUCUUAAAAAGAAAAUA